GAGAAGAACGUAGCGAAAUGCGAUAAGUAGUGUGAAUUGCAGAAUUCAGUGAAUCAUCGAAUCUUUGAACGCACAUUGCGCCCCUUGGUAUUCCAUGGGGCAUGCCUGUUCGAGCGUCAUUUGUACCUUCAAGCUUUGCUUGGUGUUGGGUGUUUGUCCUGAGGGACUCGCCUUAAAGUAAUUGGCAGCCAGUGUUUGGUUUUGAAGCGCAGCACAAGUCGCGAUUCAAAGCUAUACGCCCGCUUCCACAAGCCUUUUUCACUUUUGACCUCGGAUCAGGUAGGGAUACCCGCUGAACUUAAGCAUAUCAAUAAGCGGAGGA
rnacentral:misc_RNA from 1 species